CAUAAACAAAAACAAAAAUCAAGGAAGUUGGAGAACAUGCACAUCCUACAUUUAUUUGUUUAUUUCUAUCCCCAUUCACAGCUCUUUCAGUUUCAAACCAGCCGUAAACACAAACACACACACACACACACAGAGCUUUACAGUUCUCCUGCAAAACAUACAUUACACUGACAGGCAGACAAGGCAGACUUCAAAAGCAAGAAAUAAAUAAAUUAAACAGAAGUAUGACGGGGAUUAAUUAGUAAAACGAGGGGAUAGAAGGAGACGCAAAACAGGAAGGAAAGAUGGAGUUUGGAGCUGAAAGAGAGGAAGCAGAGAGGGAGCCGCGGUGAUCUUUGGAAGGAGGCUGGAGGUGCAGGCAGCGAGACGAAGAGUGUCACUUCUAGUUUUGCUAAAGCUAAUGUGGCAUGCAGCAGAAACAGCCAAAAAGAAACUUCUCAGGUGUAAACAUGUGCAGGUUGCUCACUUUCAUGCAGGAUGAGUCGGAGCGACAUUUUUAUUUUUUUUUAAUACCCUUCCGAAUUUCCUGCACCGUCUUCUCUUCAUUAUUUGGAGAAGGGCGAGUGUGAACGCAAAUAUGCAAAUGAAACGGUUAUUAUUGCAUUGCUCAUCAAGCAGCGCGAAGCAGACAUUAAUAGGCUGAUGAAUAUGCAUGUGAAUUUGUUAAUUAAGUUAAUUAUUCUGCUGAAAAUGCAUUCGUCUUCCAAGGACAUCUUCCCCAGGACUCCAACCUGCUCUGCUCAUUAGUCAUGCGAUAUUUUACACUGGGCACCGGGACAAGAACGAGGGGAGGGAGGGGCACCGAGGUUAAGACGUGUGCGAUAUGAGGGCAUUGUGGGUUUUGAGUCCACUUAAGAACACGGAUUUGAGGGCAUCUGAGAGAGAUACGGUGGCGCGGCGAUGACGCCUAAUCAUUCGUCCGCUCUUCAAAAGUGAAAGGUCAGCGAAAGAGACAGAGCACGGCAGCCGGCUACAGAGGGGCGUUCACGUCUCUUGUAGCCAGACGUUCGUUCCAUUUCUGCUUUUUCCUCUUUUCCUCUCCAGUAAUUCCCCCCUCUUCGCUGCUUUUCCUCUAAUUGCUUAUUAAAACCCUCUUAAAUGAACUUUUUGUGCCAACUUUCCAACACAUUAAUUAAUUGUUGUAGCCAAUUAAGUGUCGCUGUGCAAAUGAGCUUCAGCACAAAUGGUCCUGCAGGGCCCGCACCCCCUCUACCCCCUCCCCUUCCUACACCCCUACCCUCUCCCUUACUUCUUUCCCAGCAGCCCCUCUGCCCUUAAAGAGGCAGCAUCGGCACGUGCAGGCGCCGAGGGGGGGAGACAAGGCAGUGAUGCUGCCGUGCUGAUCGAGCUUUUUGAACCGAAUUGAUAAGAAGAAGGUGAGACCUUGAGGGGUGGGGGGGGGAUGACUUUGGUUUGCAGAAGUGCAUCAUCAUGCAGAGAGGAUGGUGUGAAUUUGGCUGAGGUGGCGGUAUCGCCAAGACAAAAGGUCACAGAAUACGUUUAAAGUAGCCAGCAGUGUCGUCUUUCCUGAGUUUUUCUUUGCAUUACAGCCUCUCCGGUUAGCCUCACUGCUGUUGGAAGACCCAGAGCAGAGUUUCCUCUUCAUGGUCUAUGCUUGGUCAUUUUUGCCAUCUGUUUAACACCACUUGUCCUACAGUUAAAUAGUGACAAAUAUAAAAUAAAAUGGACACCUGACUGAAUUUAGUCUCCCUCAAUGCUUCAUGCAUAUCUUUAUAUUUUGUUUGAGUCAGAUUUUUCCAUGCAUUAAGAUUUUUUUUUAAUUCCCUACUAUGUUUUUUGAACUGUUACGUCACAGUGUCAGCUGUGGAAGUGCAAAACAAGGUCAUGAACCAAUUUUACGAAUCAGCCAUUUUUACUUCUCGCAGUGAUUUUGUAGUUGAAAUUCAAGGAUGUCAAAGAUAAAAGUGGACAAGUCAGCAAGCAGCAAAGAAUUAAGCUGCAAAUAAUGCUAAACUGACGACAAACUUUAUUUUAGACACGAAUUUACUGUGUGUUAAUAUGACAUCUUGGCCAGUGUGAUGACAUCAUUAGCAUUAUGAAUGCUAGCGGUGUGUGUGCUCACUUUUAGGGACAUAACUACACUGCCUGCUUUUGAGUAGUAUUAUUAAACAGUUUGUCAUUGUUUUUGUCAGUUGUCUUGGGAAACGCACCAUCCAGAGGGAUUCAGUGACGUUCUUAGUGCUAGCGUUAGCUAACUCAUUAACUCUAUUGAGGCCUUUUGUAAAGACGUCUAUGUGAGGUUGGAUGGUUUCUGUUGAUGACAUCUUUUGAUCAAUUUAGAAAUGAAAAGUUUAUAUGUUUUUAUAUAGACAACAAUCGUUUAAAACGAAGGAUUAAAAGCGUCAGCUUUAAAGUUAACUUUUAGUUUUAGCAACAUUUUGGAGCGGUCCAGCCAGAGUCCUGAUUUAAAUGUGAUGUUUUCUUCAAAUGUAUGUUGACUGUGAUUAAAAGCCGCAUUUGUAUUUGUAAACUGUUUUCAAGGUGAGUUCAAGUUUUCUUUCUGCCUCUUUUCGGUACAAACGUCCUCAAAGUCUGCUUGCAAAGUCCAGGCCUGACAUAACAAGCAUGUGUAACAUGAAAUUUCCUAGAAAAAAACUAUAAAAUAAAGAGAAAUGGUGGGGAGGGGGUCGUGUUAUGGCGCCUAUAAAACUUGCUGUUUCAGCAGUAAACCAUAGAUCACAGCUGGGAGGAAGUGAAUCUGUUUUUGAAAUAUUGCAUAAAACAGAGAUGUACUCAUAAACAAAAUGGCUGACAUUAAAUUUUAUUUGAUAGAAGACAAAGAAGAGCUGAUGAAGACAAGAAUAUUUACACGCAAGCUGUCUUAAUAAUUAAAACGAUUUUGAUUCACAUUUUGCUCAACUAAAGGGGUGCAGGAAUCUCAGUUCUACUUCACUUUUAUUUUAAUGUGUACGUUUGCCAAUAUUUGGAGUUCUGGGCUGGUAUUUGUSUUUUUUGUUUAAUUUGGCUUUGUGUGUCUUGGAUGUGGAGCUGCGGAAGUCCCUGCCUCUCCUCGACGAGUUCACAAGCUGAUCAAACAGCYUCAGUCAUCAAACCGGCAAAUUGCUCACAAAGACAAAAUGCAGACGGCACUGCACACACUCAUGUUUUCAUUGCUGGGUUAUGUUCUAUAGAGGCAGUUAAGAACUUUUUAAUCGACACCUUUUUAUAUGUUCAAAUGAAGUUUUAACAUGAGAAAUAGAAGAAUUAGACGAAUUAAUGAAACAUUUCGGAACGUUUAACGCUUUGCUAGCUCAAUUGUCUUCUUCUAAAAAUCCYGUUAAGUUUAUUCAAGAGUUGUAUUGAUAUGCAUAACGUCCUUUGUUUUGCACGGUGGUUUAAACAGAAUCAAAGUGCUUCAUUUGUUCCUCGCAAAUUAGAAAGUACAGGGAGUUCUGAGUUUGCUGCCAGAUUACAAUAUGGUGGUAUAAUUUAAGAAAARAAAAAAAAAAAAAACUCAACCAUGUGGCAUUUAAGAAACGGUUUGUAGCUUGUAGAAACCUCGAGAAAAUGCUUCCAUUUCUUUUUAUAGUGAAUUUUUACUGUAAAAUUGGCAUUGUUCCAUUCCGUUUUAAUUCAGGGCUGCUCAAAGAUCCUUUAAAUAUCACAUGGCACCCAAACCAGGUGUUUAAUAUUGCUCACCACCAGAUCUGAGAGGGACUCAGAAAAUUCAAUCAGUCUUUGAAAUAAAAACCCAAGCACUCAUUAAAUCAGUUUAGCACGAAUAGACUGAAACAAACCCUCAGCAAUUUCACUGUUUGUCUGGAAGUCUCCCAGAAUCACUGCAGCUGACUUAAGUGCCAGCAUUCAAAGUGGAGGCUCCAUUUUGAUCGCCGCAGACUGUCCCCUGCCAUGGCGACGCCCUGAUUUAUUCGUCUCGUCUUUGUGACUUGGCGCUGGCAUUGCCCACUACAUCCUCCAGUGGAAAGUCCCCGCGGGCACAUUCACUAUUAUUUGGAGUCCCGGCGGGCGGAGGCAUCAGACAGAAUGCAGCGCCGUCUCAUCUCAUUCACACUGGGCCUGUGCUAGAGGGCAGGUGAGCCUCCCUCCGCCUCCUCUCUGAAUGGAUAUCCCACCCAGAGGGCUCAGCUGCUCGCCGGGCCAGAGGGGUAAGCGGCUCUGUAAGCGUGCCAAGUGAGGAGCUGGUCUCUGUGUGCAUGAAACCAAUCCAGCACACGCACACACACAAACACACACACACACACACACACACAAUCUGCACCAUCCUUGGAAGCCUCUGCGUUUGCCCAUCUAAGGUUUAUGAUCCUUGGCUGCCUGUCGGGAUCUUCAUAGAGAGAUCAAACCAAGUGGGGGAAUAACUGAUGUAUAAAUAUGAUUGAUAUAGAGGGAGAACCAAUCAUGGAGACGUCGUGUCUCCAUCUGACUGGGUUGGAAUAUAAUCCAUCCGACUUUAAUUGGGUUGGAGACAAUAUUACAAGUCUGCUCACUUUUAAAAAAUGUGUAAUUUAGCUGCUUGUGCAUUUUUGCUGGCUAGAAAUACAUCAGUCAGCUAAACAGCCUUGAUCUGCUGAUUGGAGAAAAUUCCCACUUUUAUUUAAGUCUAUAAAUGUAACAACACACAGAAUGUUAAGAUCUAAUAAAGGUUGGGACUAUUGUAUGAUGCAUAAAUAAGGAUAUUGCUGUAACCCCUUUUCUGCUGUAAUCAAAACARCCACUUCUCUCAKGAAGCCUGAAACAACAUAUGCAUMAAUUAUUAUUUUUAAAUAUAUAUAUAAUGUAAAACAUAAGGUUGACGCUACAAUAAUAUUAUACGAAAGCGGAAGCCUGCCAUGGUCAUGUCAUCAAGGUAAAGUAUUGAAAGAAAAUCAAACAACAAAAAAAUGUAAAUGUCUCAAUAAUGUCCUGUGGUUUUGAGCAUCAAUUGCAGAUGUUUCCUGCUGCUUAUAAGUCGACUUAUUGUCUGCGGAGGCAUGGCGUCCCACUCUUCUUGAAUGGUGGCCCUUCAGGUCACAGCUGACCCCCCACCUACCCACUCCAACACCACCACCACUUCUGGUGACGCAUAGCGCUCUCCUUGAUGUCUUUAACAUCGUUGGUUGCCAUAAAUUCUUCUCAUAGUGAAUCAACUUUGAUCAGAGAAAAGCUCUAAGACGCUUUUGUCCAGUGCAAAUGCUCCCUGACCCUUGCAGGACUACACCAAUACCUGGUGGUCUGGUCGGGUAUAGUGCCUUUAAAAGGUAUUGAUGAAUGUUUUAACAAUUUUAUUGCUUUAAAAAUCCCUCACAAACAACCCUUUAAUGACACUGCAUACAUAUUUGGCUCCUUUUAAGUGACUGACCUGAUUCAAGAGUUCUGGAUAACUUGCGUUUGUUUUCUCAGUGAGUGGAAUAGAGAUGAUGACCGGAGUGCAGUGAGUGCAUCACAAGUGGCUGGAGUAUGGAAGACAUAAAAAUGCAUAAAGACACCCCAAGCAAAUCGGAGAAAAGGUUAUUGACAAGUUUAAGUCAGGGGAUGGAUACAGAAAAAUCUAAGGCAUUAAACAUAACCUAGAGUCCAGCUAAGCCCAUCAAAAAAUGUAUUAUUUUUGAUGGAUUUAUGCCUCUUUUUUGUGGAAGAGAGGCAUAAAGAGACAAGAAAACUAAUAUCAACGCUCAACUUGAGACCAAUGGUUAAAUGGACGAAAGUUCUUCAGCCUGACGAAACCAAAAUGGAGCUUUUUGGUCAUCAGAUCUGAGAGACACGGUUUGGUGGAGACCAAACACUACACAUCACCACAAAAACACAACAUCCCCACUUUGAAGCAUGGUGGUGGCAGUACGAGUGGACCAGUCAAAGCCCAGACUUUAAUCCAAAAGAGAAUUUGUAGCUAGAGUGGAAAAGGGAGGCUCAAAGCUGACCCCCAAGCAACCUGACGGAGUUUGAACAGUUUUGCAAGGAAGAAUUGAGUAAAAUUGUCAAGUUCAGAUGUGCAAGUUUGAUUGAGACCUAUAGACAGUCUGUGCUGUGAUGGCAGCCAAAGGUGCGUCUGUGUUAGACAUUUAGUAAAAAAAAAUGUUUACCAAGUUUUCACUUUCACAUUAAAGAAUUUUCUGGUAAAAUUCCUUCAUCAGAAAAAGCCAAGCUUUUCCAUCAGUAAAAAUCCUAUUGCAUUUUUUCCCUUCCAGUGGUACUGAGGUGCUGUUGAUCAAUUGUUAGGCGUCGUCUUGAUCAGAUCAUCUCCAUCCAAUCUCAUUUGAGCUACGCUGCAAUGGACGAAUCCCAAAUCUACUUUUUGUGUAUCACAUAAAAUGCCAAACUUUUACAAGUAUGUGGACUUAACAGGGGGAACGUGGAAAUAUAAAACAGGUGCAUCAGUUUUGGACUACAUGUGCAAAACUGAAAAAGAGAGAACCAUUUAAAAACGAUGCUAAUAUCUGAGGUCAAAUGAGAUUUUCCAAGAAUGUUUUACUGCACACCUGAGUGUCCUCUAUUCAGUAUUUUUGUGCUUUUUUUCCUUCAGAGACAUCAUUCUGACUCAAAGUUAAACAACUCAUAGCUCUGUAACCUGGCCAACACAGCAGUUCUCACCUUUUAUGAGCAAAGCAAACAGUUUGGAUUUGUGGAAAUGUCUACCAUCUAGUGGUCACUUCACACAAACGCUCAGAAAUGGUAUGUAGUCCAUCUGGUGGAAUAACCUUUAAUAAGCGACCCACAACCCCAAAAACACAAUUACAAUUAUUUUUGUCGUUUCUUCUGUCUUUUAUUUUACAGACAUUACUUCUCCCUUUCUUCAAAGCAAAAAACGGAAGCAAAAUGGCUGACCGUCACUUGUUAAAGCGUUUUUUUUCACUUUAUGUGGAAAAUAAUCUAAUCAAAAUAAAGAAAAUGAGGGGGACGCGCUUACGGCCCAGGUAAAUCCAUGUGCAUUUAUUCAACUUUACGUGAACUAGUGUAGCAUGUGCAGAGCAGCGACGUAUAAUGUUUUGAUAUAAUCCGUUUAUGGGUCAGAAACAGGAGAACUAGAGGCUCGUUAAAGAAAUGAUUGUUGCACGUCAUAGGGUCACAGUUCAGGUAGGACAGUACAUCCCAAUCUGCUGAGGUUUGGGCUUUAAAACAAAAGAAAUGCUCUGAAAAACAUACACAGUGGACACUCAAAGCAGAACUGAAGCCCCACCAUACCCGAGAUCGCUCAGGAAAAGCUGAAACGUCAGACUGAAAACAGGAGGAGCUCGCCAUUUAAAAUAAACUGAAAAAACAUUGUUCUCCGUAACACUGAAACGCGCUGAAAGGGGGCCACUGCAGUGGAACUGACAAUCAUUAAGCCUCAGUUGCAUAGCACUCAGUUUAGCAGUCCGGCCUCGUCGAUGUUUGGAAAAGAGCAAAGACGUGGAGGCGGCGAGUGUUGCAACCUGAACUAAUCCUUGACAGCCUGACCCCAUGUCCAAACACUCCCACCAAAGCAACAGAACAGCUUGCUCCAUUAGGCAAAUGCGUUCAUUACCUGAAGGAAAAAAAA